GGUUGGAAUUGACCUGUUCUUGAAUCUUUAAAAUUCGAUUUUACAGAGGUUGAUAUUGCAGCAACACGUAUUUGUCUUAGUUUUGUGCGGUUUGCUCACAGGCUGGGAGGAUGACAGCUCGAGUGUAUUUCUCGUUGAUUGCUGUUUUUUCGUGUCUGUUCGGAUACUUGAGCAUAGCCCACGCUAUUCAAAGACGAACCACAGUGGAUGGUUUCUGUCCGGCGAGGCUGACGGUCGUGCCGUUCCAUCGAGGAUGUUCCUCUGAUGAAGACUGCCCUGGAGGGCACAAAUGCUGUCAAUUUGACUGUGGGACUGUUUGCGUGCUGCCUGUUUUCAUGAAGCCGGGUCAGUGUCCCGUACCGGAGAUGAUUCCACUGUGUGCUAAAAGCUGUUUCCGUGAUGGCCAGUGUCCUGCCACGCAGAAAUGUUGCCCAACCACCGGUGGCUUUGCAUGCAGUGAACCACGUGGUCAGGGAAGAGGUCAAGCAAGUUGCCAG